AAGUCCCCUAUAGCUCAGCUGGUUAGAGCGCACGCCUGAUAAGCGUGAGGUCGAUGGUUCGAGUCCAUUUAGGC
rnacentral:tRNA from 1 species